rnacentral:miRNA from 1 species
UCUCUCCGUUGUAAAAUCAAA